AUUACGGAGAGUUUGAUCCUGGCUCAGGAUGAACGCUAGCGGCGUGCCUAACACAUGCAAGUCGAACGUGAACCCUGGACUCGUCUAGGGGGAAAGUGGCGCACGGGUGAGUAACACGUUGGUGACCUGCCCCAGAG
rnacentral:rRNA from 1 species